rnacentral:tRNA from 1 species
GGGUUUGUGGCUCAGUGGUAGAGUUCUUGCCUUGAAUGUGUGAGGCCCUGGGUUUGAUUCUCAGCACCA